CCUACGGGCGGCAGCAGUGGGGAAUAUUGCACAAUGGGGGAAACCCUGAUGCAGCGACGCCGCGUGAGUGAAGAAGUAUCUCGGUACGUAAAGCUCUAUCAGCAGGGAAGAAAAUGACGGUACCUGACUAAGAAGCCCCGGCUAACUACGUGCCAGCAGCCGCGGUAAUACGUAGGUGGCAAGCGUUGUUCGGAAUAACUGGGCGUAAAGGAUGCGUAGGCGGUUAAACAAGUUAUAUGUUAAAUAUAUAGGCUUAACCUGUAGAAAGCAUAUAAAACUGUUUAACUAGAGUGCAGGAGAGGUAAGUGGAAUUCCUAGUGUAGCGGUGAAAUGCGUAGAGAUUAGGAAGAACACCAGUGGCGAAGGCGACUUACUGGACUGUAACUGACGCUCAUGCACGAAAGUGUGGGUAUCGAACAGGAUUAGAUACCCCUGUAGUC
rnacentral:rRNA from 1 species